rnacentral:misc_RNA from 1 species
AAUAGCAGAAAAUAAUUUCCCUUUAUUUUCAGUAUUACAGCCAAACAAUGGAAAAUAAGUUGUAAAUGUUUUCCUUGGAAGAUAUUUUCCACCAAAAAGUUAUUUUUCAUGAAAUAAAUGGAGUGUUGGUUUCUAUUUUUUUUUUCCCUGCGACUUUUCCUGAUAAGUUUAGCCAUGUGCUCACAAAUGUUGUAUCAUGUCACUUGUGAUUGUUCCGUUGUUGUUUGAUUUGAUAGUCUUAUAUCAUCUUUCUUUUUUAUUUGUUUGGUUACUGGGUUUCACUUUCACUGUUAUCUAUAUC